rnacentral:rRNA from 1 species
UACAGAGGGUGCGAGCGUUGUCCGGAAUCACUGGGCGUAAAGGGCGCGUAGGUGGCGCGACAAGUCAGUGGUGAAAGUUCGACGCUCAACGUCGAAUCGGCCACUGAUACUGUUGGGCUUGAGCACUGUAGAGGCUAAUGGAAUUCCGGGUGUAGCGGUGGAAUGCGUAGAGAUCCGGAAGAACACCGGUGGCGAAGGCGGCUCGCUGGGCCAGUUCUGACACUCAUCCGCGAAAGCGUGGGGAGCAAACAGG